GAUGAACGCUGGCGGCAUGCCUAAUACAUGCAAGUCGAGCGAAUGGAUUAAGAGCUUGCUCUUAUGAAGUUAGCGGCGGACGGGUGAGUAACACGUGGGUAACCUGCCCAUAAGACUGGGAUAACUCCGGGAAACCGGGGCUAAUACCGGAUAACAUUUUGAACCGCAUGGUUCGAAAUUGAAAGGCGGCUUCGGCUGUCACUUAUGGAUGGACCCGCGUCGCAUUAGCUAGUUGGUGAGGUAACGGCUCACCAAGGCAACGAUGCGUAGCCGACCUGGAAGGGUGAUCGGCCACACUGGGACUGGGACACGGCCCAGACUCCUACGGGAGGAAGCAGUAGGGAUUCUUCCGCAAUGGACGAAAGUCUGACGGAGCAACGCCGCGUGAGUGAUGAAGGCUUUCGGGUCGUAAAACUCUGUUGUUAGGGAAGAACAAGUGCUAGUUGAAUAAGCUGGCACCUUGACGGUACCUAACCAGAAAGCCACGGCUAACUACGUGCCAGCAGCCGCAGUAA
rnacentral:rRNA from 1 species